AAUCCAUGAUGUAGGCAUUGCCUAAGAAGGUCCUUGAAUUGUUCAUGUGCCUCAAAUAGUUUAUUUUGAUUCUCCUUGCUUAAAUGAUGAGAUCUCUUGCUUGAUCUU